CUAAGAGUCAUUACAGCUGUGAGUCUUCAUGGGUGAGUCUUCGUGGGUGAGUCUCUAAGAGUCAUUACAGCUGUGAGUCUUCAUGGGUAAGUAUGUAAAGCCAUUAUCACACUGCAGACCUUUAAAUGCUCAAAUCGGUUUUGAAAUACUGCCUGUCCAAAACAAUUACAAGUGACCACAUCAGAUUUGUAUGUGUUCAGACAGCAGUCAUUAGCUAACAUGGCACUGAUGGAUGUGUGUGCAGUGGUAUAUACAGGUGUAGGAUCUUAAUUUGAGCCAGUUUCCUAAAGCAGAAAAAUAAUCCUGCAGCAACAGGAAAUGUGAAUUAUAAUGGGGAUUAGAAUUAAUGGCAUUUUUUUAUAGGUCUUGAUACAUUUUUUCUUUAGGGUGAAUCAAAUUGAACAUUUGAAAGGGGAAAUUACAAACUUUAGAAGCCUUUUCAAACCUUGAGUACACUACAAAUGUGCACAUGCAGGAAAUUUCUCAGCAACAAAAUAUUGAUCAAAUUAAGAUCCUACAUCUGUUUUCUAGCACAUUCACGAAUUCAUUUGUAAAUUAACACGCUAGUUAGCUACCACAUGUUCUUGUCAACCUGUCAACAGAGUAGCUAGCAAGCAACAAGAUAUGGGAAAGAACAGUCUAAAUACCAUGUGAUUACAAAUAAAUCCGAUUUGACCGUUCAGACACAAGUUGCUUGGCCAGAAAUCAUAUCUGUAUGUGGAUUGAAGUAUCCGAUUCCAUGUGCUUUUUUUGGCUGUUCAGACUUCAGGAAAAAGCACCAAAAAAAUGCAACAAAAUAGGAUUUGAGUCACUUCAAACUGCCAAUGUGAACCAGGCUUAAGAGCUUUGCACACCUGGAUUGUGCACAUUAUUCAUUUACAAGUUGCCAUAGAUCUUCAAGCAGAUGUAAGUCAAAACUUAAACUAGGCUACUCAGGAACAUUCAAUAUCUUCUUGGUAAGUGUAGAUUUGGCCUUGUGUUUUAGGUUGUUGUCCUGCCGGCAGGGGGAAUCAUCUCCCAGUGUCUGCUGUCUGCUGGAAUGCAGAGGGAAGCAUGUUUUCCUCUAGGAUUUUGCUUUCUGUUUUAUCCUGAAAAACUCCCCAGUGUUUGCCGAUGUCAAGCAUACCCAUACCAUGAUGCAGCCACCACCAUGCUGGGAAAUAAGGAGGCAGUUAGUGAUGUGUUGAAUUUGCACCAGACAGAAGGCUUUGUAUUUAGGCCAAAAAGUUCAAUUGAAUCCCACUUUGUGACACAAAACAAAAUGUUCAAAUCCAAGGGUGGGUGAAUACUUCUGAUACCCACUGUACGUGGGGAGAAGGGUAACUUUUUACUUUUGUGUUUUUAUAUAAGAUGAUUUAAUAUACCUGAAAUAUAUUAUUAUUUUUAAAGUUGUGUUUUUAAAGCAUAGUGAGUGAAUAUUAACCGUGAGUAGUAGACCAGGAUUGAUGUGGAGAUGGCUCUGGUCCAGGGUGUUACGUGUGGCAGGUUCAGCUUCAGAAAGCCACACGUAACACCCUGGACCAGAGCUGGUGUAGAGACUGACAGGUGUGUAUAGGAGCAGUAUAUAGGGAGGAUCCCUGGUGUAGUUGGAUAUGGGACAGACAGACACUGGUGUAGUUGGAUAUGAGACAGACAGACAGACAGAGAGACACAGACACUGGUGUAGUUGGAUAUGGGAUAGACAGACAGACACUGGUGUAGUUGGAUAUGGGACAGACAGACACUGGUGUAGUUGGAUAUGAGACAGAUAGACAGACAGAGAGACACAGACACUGGUGUAGUUGGAUAUGGGACAGACAGACACUGGUGUAGUUGGAUAUGGGACAGACAGACACUGGUGUAGUUGGAUAUGAGACAGACAGAGAGACACAGACACUGAGAGACACAGACACUGGUGUAGUUGGAAAUGGGAUAGACAGACAGACACUGGUGUAGUUGGAUAUGGGACAGACAGAGAGACACAGACACUGGUGUAGUUGGAUAUGGGACAGACAGACACUGGUGUAGUUGGAUAUGGGACAGACAGACACUGGUGUAGUUGGAUAUGGGACAGACAGACACUGGUGUAGUUGGAUAUGGGACAGACAGACACUGGUGUAGUUGGAUAUGGGACAGACAGAGAGACACAGACACUGGUGUAGUUGCCUAUGGGACACUAGACUAACACCCUCCAUGUGAUUGUCUGAAAUGACACCCUAUUCCCUACAUAGUGCAUAGGGCCCAUAGGGCUCUGGUCAAAAGUAGUGCACUAUGCAGGGAAUAGGGUGCUACGGCCAUAGGGCUCUGGUCAAAAGUAGUGCACUAUGCAGGGAAUAGGGGGCUGUUUCGGACACCGCUUGUCUGUCUGUGGAGUGUAAAGAUGUGUUGAUUCUAAUCACAAUCUUUUUGUAAAUUGCAUCAAAAUGUUUAAAUGUCUCCAUCGGAUUUAAGUUAUUGUACAACUGGAAGAUGAUUGGCUGAUGUCUUAAUGAUCCUCUCAGGUGGUCACUGCUUUGAUUGGACGGGAUGAAAUGGUGCACAAUGAAGGUCCACCUCUGUGAAUGGCUGUUAUGUUGAUGGGGGCGGGUCUGACCUGCUCUCUCUCUCUGUUUCUAUUGGUCACAUUAGUGAUCCGUCUGUCUGUAACUGCAGCUACUGUCUCAAAAGGCCUCCUUUUGGUCGUUACUAGUUAAUACAGCCACAAAGUCAUAAUUAUGGCCAAACCCCGUCUAUUUCUAAAAUGUUUAUUCUUAAAAUCUGAUUUUAAACCUAACCACAAUGAUAACCUAAUACCUAACCUUAAAUGAAGACCAAAAAGCACAUGUUUGUUUUCAUGAAUUUUUUUACGAUAUAGCCAAUGCCCUGACUUUGUGGCUGUGAUACAGACAGGAAGUACACUAAACUACAGGAAGUGCCAGGUCACAUGACAGAACAAUUAUAGAAUGAAGUGCAGGUUCUAGAACCAUCUCUGGACCAGUUGGCCAUGUAGCUCCUGAUUUGAGGGUGGGGACGGACACUUGUUUAACACCAAUGCAUUCUAUUUUACCGUCAUUACGUCCCUAAUGGCACCGAUAUGCCCUCUGUAGUGCACUACUUUUGGCCAGACCACUGUCCAUAGGACCUUGCGGUAGACUAGCAUCCUGUUUAGGGGGUGUACUUGUACAUCAAGCUGCCUCACACUACAGAAACAGGAGAUAGACUAGCGUCCUGCCUCACUACAGAAACAGGAGAUAGACUAGUGUCCUGCCUCACUACAGAAACAGGAGAUAGACUAGUGUCCUGCCUCACUACAGAAACAGGAGAUAGACUAGUGUCCUGCCUCACACUACAGAAACAGGAGAUAGACUAGCAUCCUGCCUCACUACAGAAACAGGAGAUAGACUAGCAUCCUGCCUCACUACAGAAACAGGAGAUAGACUAGCGUCCUGU
ensembl:lncRNA